GCUGCGGGAGUAACUAAAAGAAGCACAUAAAUAAAGUUCUACAUAAAUGAACUUAUGAGUACUACAAGUGAGUGUAGUAUGCAAAAAAUGUAUGCUUAGAAACGCUCAUGUAGUAUAUGCACUUACAAAAAUAUUAUCGUCAAAACAAACUAAUCAACCACAAUUAUCGCUAGUGGCAAUCUCUAGACCUUUCCGUCACAUAUAUAUUGACACAAACAUCCAUCAAUUGGUAUUCUUAUCAGGGACUUGAGAGAUUUAACUGCAUUGAGCUACAUGAAUAAUGCGUCUCUUAGCGUUAUCAUUGCGCUGAUACCCAAACAGGAACCAGGAAUUCCCAAGAGGCGAGAAAUAACUAUGACGUAUUGAGCUCUUGUUGUUGUUGCAGCAUUGCCAAGACAUUAAACAUUCCAAUAUGUGCGUGGCCCGCGAUGUUAUCCAGUUGAACAUACAGGAAAACUGCAGUUUGAAUAUAUUUAUACUCUACUCGUGUAUAAAGUAAAUCGGUCACAUGCACAGCUUAUUUUAAGUGUAAGACCUAAAGAUUAAUGGGCAAAAGAAACUCAUUGAAAAUGUGCAUAUAUUACAUUUCAGUAAAAUAACAUUUUUCUGCUCACAACUGCGCCUUUAUAUGUAUAACUAGAAAGUAAAAGGCGUGAUAAUUUCCAUUUAA